CUGGACAGCGAGGAAGAAGAGUUCACUGUUUCUUCAGACGAAGAGCAGGACUCCGACGAUGAACGUUUGUAUUUUGAAGAGCGACUUGAUCCAGCUGAGGAUAUAAUUUCUGAAGAGAAUGUGGCAGCAUCACUCUCCUCUUCAGCGGGCAUUUGCAGAAAUGCGACGGACAUUCAUACAGGGUAAGUCACAUUUGCGGGCUUUUCUGUUUUAUUAGUAGACUUUUACUGAUGUUUUGCGUAGUAAUUUGGAAAAUACAAGAUGUAUAUAUAUAAACAUAUCUGUAUUUUCCGAAAAUACAUGAUACAAAUAAUGUUUUUAAUUUUUUUUUAGUAACGUGGCUUCAUCAUCAUUUACUCGCACGGGGGCAUGCAGAAACGAACCCGAAAUAAAUAAAGUGAUACAAUUUAUAUAUAUAUUUUUUAAGGUAAAAUGUAAGGCAAAAUUUGUUUAAUUAUUCCUCAUAACAUUUUUAUGCCACGAUCUACAGAACA